rnacentral:rRNA from 1 species
GAUGAACGCUAGCUACAGGCUUAACACAUGCAAGUCGUGGGGCAGCGGAUACUUAGCUUGCUAAGUAUGCCGGCGACCGGCGCACGGGUGAGUAACGCGUACCGAACCUGCCCAUCACACAGGGAUAGGCUUGCGAAAGCAAGAUUAAUACCUGAUGGUCUCAGUUGUAUGCGUGUAUGAUUGAGUAAAGCCUUCGGGCGGUGAUGGAUGGCGGUGCGUCCCAUUAGGAAGUUGGCGGGGAAACGGCUCACCAAUCCUUCGAUGGGUAGGGGUUCUGAGAGGAAGGUCCCCCACAUUGGAACUGAGAUACGGUCCAAACUCCUACGGGAGGCAGCAGUGAGGAAUAUUGGUCAAUGGGCGAGAGCCUGAACCAGCCAAGUAGCGUGCGGGAUGAAGGCCCUUGUGGUCGUAAACCGCUUUUAUCAGUGAAUAAAGUGCAUCACGUGUGGUGUCAUUGCAGGUAGCUGAAGAAAAAGGACCGGCUAAUUCCGUGCCAGCAGCCGCGGUAAUACGGAAGGUCCGGGCGUUAUCCGGAAUUAUUGGGUUUAAAGGGAGCGCAGGCGGGAGUGUAAGUCAGCUGUUAAAUAUCAGGGCCCAACUCUGUUAUGCAGUUGAAACUAUAUUUCUUGAGUACGCACAGGGAUGGCGGAAUUCAGGGUGUAGCGGUGAAAUGCUUAGAUAUCCUGAAGAACUCCGAUCGCGAAGGCAGCCAUCCGGAGCGUAACUGACGCUGAGGCUCGAAGGUGCGGGUAUCGAACAGGAUUAGAUACCCUGGUAGUCCGCACGGUAAACGAUGAAUACUCGCAGUUCGGCCGUUUAGGUCGAGUUGUCCAGCGAAAGCGUUAAGUAUUCCACCUGGGGAGUACGCCGGCAACGGUGAAACUCAAAGGAAUUGACGGGGGCCCGCACAAGCGGAGGAACAUGUGGUUUAAUUCGAUGAUACGCGAGGAACCUUACCCGGGCUUGAACCAAGAGUGACGAGUGCAGAGAUGCGCUUAUUCUUCGGACACUUUUGGA